rnacentral:rRNA from 1 species
AUGGGCGCAGCCUGAUCAGCCAUGCCGCGUGAGUGAUGAAGGCCCUAGGGUUGUAAAGCUCUUUCAGCGAGGAGGAUAAUGACGUUACUCGCAGAAGAAGCCCCGGCUAACUUCGUGCCAGCAGCCGCGGUAAUACGAAGGGGGCUAGCGUUGUUCGGAAUCACUGGGCGUAAAGCGCACGUAGGCGGACUGAUCAGUCAGGGGUGAAAUCCCGGGGCUCAACCCCGGAACUGCCUUUGAUACUGUCAGUCUUGAGUCCGAGAGAGGUGAGUGGAACUCCGAGUGUAGAGGUGAAAUUCGUAGAUAUUCGGAAGAACACCAGUGGCGAAGGCGGCUCACUGGCUCGGUACUGACGCUGAGGUGCGAAAGCGUGGGGAGCAAACAGGAUUAGAUACCCCAGUAGUCCAA